CCGUUCCUGCCUCCCACAGACACCUAUUAAGUGCCUCCAGUUUUAGGAACUGGGUAUAGAUAUGGCUGGGAACAAAAUGGAAGAAAACAAAAACAAAAAUCCCUGCCCUCAUGGUGCUGACUCUCCUGUGGCAGAGACGGAGAAGAUGAACAGGGAUUUUAUACCAGGCGUCAGAAGGGAACCAGUGCUAAAGAAAAUGAAAACACCAGGCCGGGAGAGGCAGCUGGCAUGCGGGCCGUGGUGGUUUUACGUGGCCGAUUUGAGAGAGUGAGACCCCUGGGGUCUUGGAGCCAGGCCUGGGAAAAGCUACUUCACGUCAGGCCAGGGGCUGUAGCCCUGGCAACCUCCACUCCGCCUGGAAAUCCUCCACCUCGGGGCCUCUCUUUGCCCAGACCUGGCCCAGGAGGAGCACAUGGGAGCCGGGACCUUCCCAACAAUCCUUGCCGUUGGCUCCACAAACCUCAGCCAGUCCUGCAACCUGGGAUGCCUUUUCCACCAGGAUGCCUGCUACUGUCACUGUUGUCAUUAGAUAAUUAAUGAACUAUAAUUAGAAAUCAUAUCAAUAAAAUUUCACAGUCUAAGGCUGUUGAAAUAGGAAAAAAAAAAAAAAAAAAA
rnacentral:lncRNA from 1 species